rnacentral:tRNA from 1 species
CCCUGGGUAGUGGAAACAGUUAACAUGUUUGGCUGCUAACCAAAAGGCUGGAGGUUGAAGUCCGCCCAGAGGCA